GCAUAUCAAUAAGCGGAGGAAAAGAAAAUAACAAUGAUUCCCUUAGUAACGGCGAGUGAAGGGGGAAAAGCUCAAAUUUUAAAUCUGCUAGGUUUUACUUAUCAGAAUUGUAAUUUGAAGAAGCGUUUUCCGCGUCUUGGUUGGCCCAAAUCCUUUGGGAUAAGGUAUCAUGGAGGGUGAGAAUCCCGUUCGGUUGACCUUAUGACGCUCUACGAUACGCUCUCUAAGAGUCGAGUUGUUUGGGAUUGCAGCUCAAAAUGGGAGGUAAAUUUCUCCUAAGGCUAAAUAUCGGCGAGAGACCGAUAGCGAACAAGUACCGUGAGGGAAAGAUGAAAAGAACUUUGAAAAGAGAGUAAAAUAGUACGUGAAAUUGUUGAAAGGGAAACGAUUGAAGUCAGUCGUACCGACGAGAAAUCAACUUAUCGUGUGCGAACU
rnacentral:rRNA from 1 species